CAAUAGCGUAUAUUUAAGUUGUUGCAGUUAAAAAGCUCGUAGUUGGAUUUCGGAUGGGAUUUGCCGGUCCGUCGUUACGAUGUGCACUGGCCAGUCCUAUCUUGUUGUCGGGGACUAGCUCCUUGGAUUCACUUCCUGGGACUAGGAGCUGACGAGGUUACUUUGAGUAAAUUAGAGUGUUCAAAGCAAGCCUACGCUCUGAAUACAUUAGCAUGGAAUAACACGAUAGGGCUCUGGCUUAUCUUGUUGGUCUGUGAGACCAGAGUAAUGAUUAAGAGGGACAGUCGGGGACAUUCGUAUUUCAUUGUCAGAGGUGAAAUUCUUGGAUUUAUGAAAGACGAACUUCUGCGAAAGCAUUUGUCAAGGAUGUUUNCAUUAA
rnacentral:rRNA from 1 species